AGCUUUUUCUAGGUGGAAAGAGCUAAUGCUUGAUAAAGAUUUCAAAAGAGACACUGAAGUGGCCAGUUUUCUUCUCGACAGGUAAGUCAGUGUUACAAUCUAUAUUAUAAUAUUUUUUUUAUAUCUAACAAUGCAUAUAAUUCAGAAAAUAUAACGAAUAAAGAAGACAUAACUACUAAUUACAAUAUUUAAUGUUUUCCACAGUCAGUAAUUCAUACUGUAACAUUCGUUUGUUAGUUGUCAUGUUGCAGUUUGUUUGAAAUAACACACCUGUUCACCUGAAGGAAAACUCGACGAAGUGCUAUUAGAAGACAUCCUGUCAAAGCUUUUUGGUACAUAUCGCCUACCGUAGAUGCAACGCGCAUUUGAAAAAGCGAGGCGCUGGCGAGCAAAAUUAGUUUGAAUGCAAAAUACAAUUUCACCACUAGAUGGGAGUAAUUCCUGCUUAGUGUCCCUUUAAUACAAUCGAUUCGUUGAAGUAUUCAUCGAGAACAGACACCCCAUUACUGUGUGUUUCCCACUGAAGCUAUUAAGCUAACCAUUUAUCAUGCUUAGCGGACGCGUCUGCUUCUUUAAAUUCUCGAGCUCAUUACAGCAGGAUUGAUUCUGGUUGGCAAUGUUUUUAUCAUUCAUCAGAAAAAAAAUCGUUCCGAAAGUGAUUCCAACGAUAUCGUCUCUCUGUGCCUUUAUCGUUAUAGUUGUGGUGUGGACUCCGCUAUUCUUUAAUAUUGAGAACGAUUUUUAGAACUAUAUCUUUAUCUUUGUCUUUAUAAUUAUCGUGCUUGGUGUGAACGGGCCUUUUGGCAUUGUUUGGAACAGGUGAUACGGUUUCUAAAAGUUUCAUGGAGGAAGUUUGGAGAAAUGUGUGAAAUCAGUAAAGUGCGCAGCGCCGACCGAUCAUCGAUGAAACAGAAACAAACAAAUGCAGAGGAGACGUAAAGGACGACAGAGCGUACAAAUUAAAGGCCUCCCUCUCUCUUUCUGCUGCUGACUGGGUCUUACCUCCACUGGGACAACCCAUCGUCAUCUUUCAUCUCCCCUGCAUACAUUAACUCUGUUGUCAUGGUGCUGACCGGUGUGUGCUUGCCGUAGGGACAGACUACUGUCUCCCAGACCCUGGAGCAGGUGAUCAGUGAGUGACAGGAGCCCCCCAGGACGGGACCCCCCAUCCCUCACUUUGGGAUGGAGCUAUAGAGAUGAGGAGAAGCGAUAAACAACAGAUGUUUCGACAAGGGAGAGAGAGAGAGAAGGAUUGUGGGGAGACAAUAAAGAGAGGGAGAUAGAGCGUGAAGGGAGAGGGAGAGGACUGGAGAGGUUUAAAAUAAUUAAAGAGGGUGGAAAUCCCUGGAGAGACUGAAGCAGAGGUGUUCCAGCUGCUGAAGGCAAAGUGCUGCCACAGCACCAUGAAACUUCACAAAUGUGUAAAACAGUUGGACACUCAUGGACUGAGGAAGUUUAGGUCCUCAUGCAAGCUACUAAAUCCAAAAGUUGAAGUCAAAUUGAGAGAUGGAGGAGGACUCUGUUCACAUUAAUAUCCCUGGAGGAAGAGAGGUCACAUAGGCUUUGUUCAGACAGGCAGCAGAAAUCCGUUUUUUGGCUUAUCCCACUUAAAUCUAUUUCAUUCUUUGUAGUCUGAACUGAGAGGGCAGGGUUUGGCUGGUUAGCAUGACCCUGUUAGCCCCUGCCGCUAGAAGUUAUAGCUACUCCAUCUGGCAGUAAAGAGCAUCUUUGCUCCAUUGAUGCCCAAUAUUUUGAUGGAAUGCAUUUUCUUUGGGUUUCAUCAAUUUCUCUAAAAUGUAAUUAUAUCUGAUAUUGCAUGUUUUACCAUUGACCAAUUUUUUCUGGAGGUCUCUUCAAAGUGUGAAAGUGUUUUCUCCCCAGUCUGUUGCUGCUUGUUAUAUAGAAAGGUUAUAUGUGAAGAUUCUUCAAAAUUUUCCGUUUGUGUUUUAUUUGACCUAAGGGUGAGUAAAUGAAAGAAAUUAUAUUUUGGGUGAACCACUAUUCCUUUAUUUUACUUACAAUGAAAGUUCAGGGUAAGGCUGGCUUCUAGGACUGUGCAACUCAAAAUGAACAAAAUACAGUAAAACAAUACUAUUGUGAAAUAUUAUUACAAUUUAAAACUUUUUUUUUUUCUAUUGUAAUAUGUUUUAAAAAUGUAAUGAAACCAGGUUUACAGGUUACGUUGUUUCAUUUAAUGCACAAAAACAUUUCAACAGUGUUGAACAGGAGUUAAAAGAUUGGAUAAAACUUUUUAAUGACAAGCUAUUCUUGUCUCAUGUUAACACAUAGGACUAAACCUACUAACAGCUUGCGCUAGAGCAUACUGUCUUUUGCCGGUAAAAUAGUACUGUCAGAAUUUACAAAAUAUGCGCAGUGAAGAAUUGGCAUUAAAAAGGCACGGACACACUUUUUUUUAAAGCUUUUUUUUGUGCCUUACCUUAUUGAAUAUGAAUUUAUAGUAGUUUCCCUUUCAGACACAAAACAGGGGGUGAGUAUUAAAAUGAAUCGCGCAAAACAAGAUUUACUAAUGUUUGCACUCAUCAAAUUACUGGUAUUUUGGUCAUUAUUUAAUGCCACAAAAAGCAUGUCUUAUAGCUGGCAGUAAUUGGCAAUAACUGAAUUUUCCCCUCCCAUCUGCAUUUUAUGGAAUUGUGCUGCAAUGCUAAUUUACCUUGUUUAGAAAUCUGGCCCAAUAAUGUUUAAUAAUGAUAAUAAUGUUUUACUUUUAAG